UAUAAAAUGUCUACGUAUUAUUAACAUUAGAACUAAUGAUUUUGAUUUUAUCUUUCAGACAUUUUUCACGUAAUUAAUUAAAUUUUCAAUUAAACAUUAAUAAUAUAUUCUUCUUUAUCUAUAAAAAUAAAUAUGAGAUUACUUUUAGUAGCCAUCACAUUAUUCAUCGUCAUUUUCGUUAUACAAGAUGCAGUACAUUGUAGUGACAGUUUUAAAAAAAGCCCUAGUUUUAAAGGUAAGUCUAAUAAAUUUAUUAAAAUCAAUGUUUAAACUACUAUGAUUGUAAAAAUCUCUUUUAAGCUGAUAAAAAAACUCUUUGUUUUAGUUAUAUAAAAAAAUGAGUUUAUGAUUCCUUUAUUAGAAUUUUUAAUCUAAUGGUAUUUUAUCUGUUAGAUAGGAAAAUAUAAAAUACUUGAUGACAUACCUAGCUUUUUUUUUUGUUUAAUUGUCAACCAUACUAACAGUGUCCUACUACUUUCUAAAACGACAAACAAAUUAAAUCUUGCUUGGUUAACUAGAUUAGAAUAAGCUCCCUAAUAAUUAUACAUAUUAUUAUAAAAAAAGAUUUAGGAAUGGAAAAAUUGCGACUAAGUAGGUUUUUAAUAUGAUUUUGAUUUAUGUAAAUAUAAGUAGUAUUUAAAUAUUCUAUUUUCAAAAUUGUAAUGGGCCUUAAAAUAAUGUUUAAAUAUUCCAUAUAGUUUUAUAAACUUAAUACUUGGUCAAAAUGCCAUGUAACAAAAAAGUUGGUUCCACAACCCAUUUUUAAUUAUUUAACCAAAACAACUUUGAAAUGAAAUUACAUUUAUCUAAUCUAAGUCAAAUAUCAAUAAUUUGCAAUCGUAAUCUCGGCGUAACAUGUAAUUGUUUAAGUUUAAAAUAUCAGUUUCUAAAUUAAAAAGUAUUUAACACUCUAAUUGAACCAUUGUAAAAAUGUUUAUUAGAUUUUAGUUUAUUAUACAACAUUCUAUUAAUGCGUAUUAAUUACUUAAAUCUAUUAAAACAGUAAUAUCAGUACCAACAAGUUUAUCAGAUCUAAGUUAAAUAGAAUAACAACAUCAUUAAAUUAAAAUUUUUGUGAAUACAUUAUUAAUUUUUGACUUAGACAUUUUAGAAUUUAAAUGAUUUUUUUUUUUUGUACU